CNUGCAGUCGAGCGGAUGACAGGAGCUUGCUCCUGAAUUCAGCGGCGGACGGGUGAGUAAUGCCUAGGAAUCUGCCUGGUAGUGGGGGACAACGUUUCGAAAGGAACGCUAAUACCGCAUACGUCCUACGGGAGAAAGCAGGGGACCUUCGGGCCUUGCGCUAUCAGAUGAGCCUAGGUCGGAUUAGCUAGUUGGUGAGGUAAUGGCUCACCAAGGCGACGAUCCGUAACUGGUCUGAGAGGAUGAUCAGUCACACUGGAACUGAGACACGGUCCAGACUCCUACGGGAGGCAGCAGUGGGGAAUAUUGGACAAUGGGCGAAAGCCUGAUCCAGCCAUGCCGCGUGUGUGAAGAAGGUCUUCGGAUUGUAAAGCACUUUAAGUUGGGAGGAAGGGCAUUAACCUAAUACGUUAGUGUUUUGACGUUACCGACAGAAUAAGCACCGGCUAACUNUGUGCCAGCAGCCGCGGUAAUACAGAGGGUGCAAGCGUUAAUCGGAAUUACUGGU
rnacentral:rRNA from 1 species